GUAGGCCACAAGCGUUAUCCGGAUUUAUUGGGCGUAAAGCGUGUGUAGGGGGCGUAGUGCGUCUGUGGUUAAAGCCCACUGCCUAACGGUGGAAGUGCCACGGAUACGACUAUGCUGGAGGGUGUUAGAGGUGCAUGGAACAUACGGUGUAGGGGUGAAAUCCGUUGAUAUCGUAUGGAACACCAAAGGCGAAGGCAGUGCACUGGGACAUUCCUGACCCUGAGACACGAAAGCGUGGGGAGCAAAAAGGAUUAGAUACCCUUGUAGUCCACGCCCUAAACGAUGCCUGCUAGCUGUUUCGAGUAUCGACCCUCGGAGUGGCGUAGCUAACGCGUUAAGCAGGCCGCCUGGGAAGUACGAGCGCAAGCUUA
rnacentral:rRNA from 1 species